rnacentral:rRNA from 1 species
GAUGAACGCUGGCGGCGUGCCUAAUACAUGCAAGUCGAGCGAACAGAUGAGGAGCUUGCUCCUCUGACGUUAGCGGCGGACGGGUGAGUAACACGUGGAUAACCUACCUAUAAGACUGGGAUAACUUCGGGAAACCGGAGCUAAUACCGGAUAAUAUAUUGAACCGCAUGGUUCAAUAGUGAAAGACGGUUUUGCUGUCACGUAUAGAUGGAUCCGCGCCGCAUUAGCUAGUUGGUAAGGUAACGGCUUACCAAGGCAACGAUGCGUAGCCGACCUGAGAGGGUGAUCGGCCACACUGGAACUGAGACACGGUCCAGACUCCUACGGGAGGCAGCAGUAGGGAAUCUUCCGCAAUGGGCGAAAGCAUGACGGAGCAACGCCGCGUGAGUGAUGACGGUCUUCGGAUCGUAAAACUCUGUUAUUAGGGAAGAACAAAUGUGUAAGUAACUAUGCACGUCUUGACGGUACCUAAUCAGAAAGCAACGGCUAACUACGUG